CGUUGUGGCAUCGCUACUGUCUGCAUUCGUGGUGAUUUCUUUUUUAUUUGACAUAUGUUCUUUGUGUCCUAUAUUCCUUUAUGAUGAUUCUUUCUAUUAUUUUGUCUCUGGAUUGUUCUUAAUUACCGGUUGUUUGUUUCGUACCAUAUAUCGUCAACUCUACCUCUGUGUUUGCCUACCUUCUACUUCUCCGUUUGUAUCUACAGGUUAAAUCAUUUGUUUACUGAUGUUUUUAGGUUGGUAUUUAUAGUCUAUGCCUCAGGUUGGGGAAAAUUUUCGUUUGUGUAUCCCAGCAGUCUGCAUACUAGAGGGCUUCAGAAGCUACUGUAUUUCUUGAUUUUAAUUUUGUGCUCUCCUCAUGCUAGACACAGGUAGGCAGGAGAUGUCAUGGCCUUCCGAGCAGCAUUUUUUGUUGUGUUACUAGGUUUGUUAGGCGCCUCAUGUGCUAAUUAGAGAUGGGCAUGCCCUCUGCCUGGUUGUCCUGCUUAGCCUUGCGCGUCCUCCUGUGAAAUUGGGUACCUACCAAAUACAAAUAUGUGAAAGUUUGGUUCUUUUCUUUUUUUUACAUUUGUGGCUAAUUUUGUAUCCAUUGUCAUGGAAUAGAUAUAUAAUAACUUUAGGUGACCGCUAAAUUGUAUUUCACAUUACUUGUGUCGUGUUCUUCUAAGGUACCACUAAAUUGAUCCCAUGCCUUUUAUUUGCUCUAGAUAUUUUAGUUUUGACGCCCUUGCGCUAACAAUAUUCUGUAUUUUUCAGCUUUUGCAAAAUAGUUACUGUUUGAGAUUUUUUGAAGUUAAAGUUGAUAUUUUCAUGUGCUUUGUUAGGGCUGGUGAUCAAUGAGGCCCAUGAAGAAUGCCAUACUCGAUUUCUCGAGCCUUUCCAUCUCCCAACCCUCCUACUGAAGAUACUGGAUUUCUGAAAAGAAGCUCAGAUCCUCACCUCAUUUCACCAUCCAGAAGUUGGUGAUCAUUUUAUGGUGUUUUUCAUGUUGGGUCAGUGCAGAUGUCAAUCCCUAAAUAUAAUAAUAAACUGAAAUUGUACUACUUUUGCCUUCAAUAAUAGCCACUAUUUUUUUAUUGGUGCCAAUCUUCUACAGUUUAGCAAGGAAUUUAUGAUCAGUAAAUCAAUGACCAAGUUUUCUGCUUUUUAAUAAAGAUUUUUAUUUCAAAAUAGAACCAGGAACUUAAUCUGAAAUACUUUUCCCUUUCAUAAUAUGCCACUACGAAGUGACCUAACCACUUAAGUUGGAUUAAGCAUGUUUAACAUACAUUCAUAUGCACCAUGCUUCUCAUAAUAAUGCAUUAUCAUCUUUGCUUUCUCAUGACAAUAACUAGAAGUUUAAAUUCUUACCUAUUGCCUUCACUAUGUGCCAACUACAUUUUAUGAUACUACUAUAUUAAAACUUUCUCAAACUUUCCUUCUCUGAUGGUUGUAAAACCACUUGCUACUAUGAGUUAAGCCUUAGCCAAUUUAGAUAUGAUUUAGAUCUCAUUUGCCAUUUUCUUUUAUCCAUGGCAUUCACUACCUUGAUCAUGUUACAACAUUUUGCAGCUUCAUAAAAGGUUUAGAUCACUCUUAAAAUGUGAUUUGAAUUGUGCUUUUGUGUGCCCACUGUUUUCAUACUAUAUUUGAUUUCAAAAAUAUUUUGUAGCAUUAGAGUUUCACUCAAAAUGCUAGAUAUAAUUCAGUUUUUCAGAUUUUGUAAAAUUCUUGCUGCACUGUUCUUGAUUUUUAUAAACCAUUGAAAUCAACUCCGUUUGAGCUGAAUACUUUACAGCAUGUCAAUAAUAGUUACAUCUUUCUUAUGUAAAAUUUACAAUUUUUUCUGAGAUCUUUUGGUUGCCCAAAUGAUUUGAAAAUAGAGUGCAGAUCAGUUUCAGAAAACACAAUCAGUUUCAGAUUCAUAGUUCAGGGGACGUGAGAGUAAGACGCUGCAGAGGUAUUCUUCCUCGUGGCAACCAUCUACAGCGUAGCAGCGCCGUGCUUGCCGUUCGUCACGUUCCAGCCCAUCAUGCUGUCGUGUGGAUCAUCUUCUCCAGCUCUAACCUCAUUCAGGCAACGUUUCCGACCAUUUCAGUGAGCCUCUGGUCAUACCACCAUGUCCUCUAGCUUCUGUGUACCGUGGUGCAUCUUUUUGAUGUGCGUGUUGCUUCAGAUGGUCAGCUGAGUCGAGUUGCCGAUGUGACCGGUCGCUACCACCGUGAGCUGAACACCAUGGACUUGCCAUUGACAACAUCGGCCACCAAAGUCUCUUUCUCUUUGACUAACUACAACAUUGAGUUUCCAAGUCCUUAUGGAUGAUAUUAGUGUUCGUUGCAAAAGGUAAAGAAGGUGAAUGGUGUUUUGGUUGGGAACCUGCAGCGUUUGUUCUUAGAUGAUGAGCCAGAAAUAUUCAGGAGGCAAAGCUUACCACAUCUUAGAUCCUGAAGCAACACAGGAUUCCAUCGCCCAUGUCAAAUGAACUUUGGUGAGACUGAGGCAUUAUGCACUUACUGACACAUUUUUGCAGGCGUAACUACACAUUUUCCUAAGG